rnacentral:rRNA from 1 species
ACACUCCUACGGGAGGCAGCAGUGGGGAAUUUUGGACAAUGGGCGAAAGCCUGAUCCAGCAAUGCCGCGUGAGUGAAGAAGGCCUUCGGGUUGUAAAGCUCUUUUGUCAGGGAAGAAACGGUGAGAGCUAAUAUCUCUUGCUAAUGACGGUACCUGAAGAAUAAGCACCGGCUAACUACGUGCCAGCAGCCGCGGUAAUACGUAGGGUGCAAGCGUUAAUCGGAAUUACUGGGCGUAAAGCGUGCGCAGGCGGUUUUGUAAGUCUGAUGUGAAAUCCCCGGGCUCAACCUGGGAAUUGCAUUGGAGACUGCAAGGCUAGAAUCUGGCAGAGGGGGGUAGAAUUCCAUGUGUAGCAGUGAAAUGCGUAGAUAUGUGGAGGAACACCGAUGGCGAAGGCAGCCCCCUGGGUCAAGAUUGACGCUCAUGCACGAAAGCGUGGGGAGCAAACAGGAUUAGAUACCCGAGUAGUCCCAUGAU